rnacentral:rRNA from 1 species
AGCGAACGCUGGCGGCAGGCCUAACACAUGCAAGUCGAACGGAUCCUUCGGGAUUAGUGGCGGACGGGUGAGUAACACGUGGGAACGUGCCCUUUGGUUCGGAACAACUCAGGGAAACUUGAGCUGAUACCGAAUGUGCCCUUCGGGGGAAAGAUUUAUCGCCAUUAGAGCGGCCCGCGUCUGAUUAGCUUGUUGGUGAGGUAAUGGCUCACCAAGGCGACGAUCAGUAGCUGGUCUGAGAGGAUGAUCAGCCACAUUGGGACUGAGACACGGCCCAAACUCCUACGGGAGGCAGCAGUGGGGAAUCUUGCGCAAUGGGCGAAAGCCUGACGCAGCCAUGCCGCGUGAAUGAUGAAGGUCUUAGGAUUGUAAAAUUCUUUCACCGGGGACGAUAAUGACGGUACCCGGAGAAGAAGCCCCGGCUAACUUCGUGCCAGCCGCCGCAGUAACAC